AGGGCUGUAGCUCAGUGGCAGAGCACCUGCCUAGUAUGUGUGAGGCACUGGGUUCGAUUCUCAGCACCACAG
rfam:Ictidomys tridecemlineatus contig072690, whole genome shotgun sequence.